rnacentral:lncRNA from 1 species
AUGUCACGUGGUAGGCCUGGUGGCGCAAGAACGCUUGGGGCGACGUGCAACGUUCCGGUUGCAUACCUUCAUCAGCUAUUCCGUGUACCAGAAUUAACUUUGAAUAAAGAUCUCUCGCUCAGUUUCUACGCAGCAAACCGUCCAGUUGCGCACACUAGGUGGCGCCAUGAUGCCGUUUCUUGUCGGACUGCCAUGAGUGGACAGAGACGGCUGGUGACUUCUGGUGAUUCAUAGAGAGGCAGCCUGCUUGUUCGAAGUCUUCUGGCUCUUACUUGUGUUUAUACUUUGAAACACAAUCUCACAACAUAUAUAUUCAGUUGUCUGUUAAUUUCUUGUCUUUUUAUCAUGUAGUGUAAUUCUUUGGUUAUCCAGGUCCUUCCACCACCUUUGUUCUUUAUUUAUUUGUAAAAUAAUUAGGAUUUGAUCAUUACAUUCAUGUUACUGUUAUCAUAUAUUUUCAGCUUUUUUGCAGACAUUCCCCCUGUAUGCUGCUCAUGCAUGACAGGUAUAUUAUAUAGUUCUAGUUCAGUAUUUAGCAGACACGUUUGACUAAAGGGACUUGCAAAUCAUUAAAGUGAAGACAUUUAGGCUAAAGCAAAAACAAUCAAUUGACGAUAAUAAUAAUAAUUACCAAAAGUAUCAUAAUAUUUAUAAAGAAUGCUUAAACUAAUUAACUAAAAGUGAGUUUUUAAACGCUUUUUAAAUGUACCAAGGCUGUCACUGGAAUGGACUGCACUAGGCAGGUCCUUCCACCACCGAGGUACCACAAAUAAGAAGAAUCUUGACUACGAUCUCUUGCUGCUGAGAGAGGGCAAAGACAACAGAUGCUCAUCGGAGGACUGAAGUGGUUGUGAGGGAUUUCAAUUGAAUUAUAGCAGGUACAGGGAGUCAGUUAAAGCCCCAUUCCGGGAGAAUUGGUAUUUUUUGCUACUGAGCACCCCCUAAAGUUGCGGAGUGUAGCUCACUUUUACACCACUGUCGUGAAUACAAAUGUUGCCACGAGACCAUCUAAUGGACAGUGUAAAUGAAUUUGAAUUUGGAGUAUGUGUAAUCCGAUAAAAUGUUGUUGACGACAUGCUUAAUAUACAUUGGACAGUGUAAUUUAAUACAAGCUACCUGAAUUAGGUUUUGAAGGUUGCAAACUUCCAAGCCUUAUUGGCGUGUGAUUUGACGAAGACUGAUUCAACUUUUUGACGUGAGAUGAAUUUAUUUGGAUGCUAGCCUGAGACAGGAU